UACGUAGGGUGCGAGCGUUGUCCGAAAUUAUUGGGCGUAAAGAGCUUGUAGGCGGUUUGUCGCGUCUGCCGUGAAAAUCCGGGGCUCAACCCCGGACUUGCGGUGGGUACGGGCAGACUAGAGUGUGGUAGGGGAGACUGGAAUUCCUGGUGUAGCGGUGAAAUGCGCAGAUAUCAGGAGGAACACCGGUGGCGAAGGCGGGUCUCUGGGCCGAUACUGACGCUGAGGAGCGAAAGCGUGGGGAGCGAACAGG
rnacentral:rRNA from 1 species